AGAGCGAACGCUGGCGGCAGGCUUAACACAUGCAAGUCGAGCGGGCGUAGCAAUACGUCAGCGGCAGACGGGUGAGUAACGCGUGGGAACAUACCUUUUGGUUCGGAACAACACAGGGAAACUUGUGCUAAUACCGGAUAAGCCCUUACGGGGAAAGAUUUAUCGCCGAAAGAUUGGCCCGCGUCUGAUUAGCUAGUUGGUGAGGUAACGGCUCACCAAGGCGACGAUCAGUAGCUGGUCUGAGAGGAUGAUCAGCCACAUUGGGACUGAGACACGGCCCAAACUCCUACGGGAGGCAGCAGUGGGGAAUAUUGGACAAUGGGCGCAAGCCUGAUCCAGCCAUGCCGCGUGAGUGAUGAAGGCCCUAGGGUUGUAAAGCUUCUUUUGUGCGGGAAGAUAAUGACGGUACCGCAAGAAUAAGCCCGGCUAACUUCGCGCCAGCAGCCGC
rnacentral:rRNA from 1 species